UCUGUGAAACUGCAUCGUGAUGGGGAUAGAUUAUUGCAAUUAUUAAUCUUCAACGAGGAAUGCCUAGUAAGCGCGAGUCAUCAGCUCGCGUUGAUUACGUCCCUGCCCUUUGUACACACCGCCCGUCGCUCCUACCGAUUGGAUGUGCUGGUGAAGCGUUUGGAUUGGCGACUUGCGGCGGUAACGCUGUUUGUCGCCGAGAAGUUCGUUAAACCCUCCCAUCUAGAGGAAGGAGAAGUCGUAACAAGGUUUCCUUUCGCACGUCAGGUUCUCACCUGCCGAAGCCUUAGCCGCCCGAAAGGGUGCUCGCCGCGACUUCAUGACUUCAUGAUUAAUUUCGUUGUUAAUCAUCGGAAAGAAAGAGCGAGCUGAAAGAGCUAGUCGAGGUGGCUCCCUUCCAGGCUGGAAGGGAAAAACCUCGGCGACACCGUCAAAUUGCGGGAACGCCCACGCACGACUCUCGAACACCAAGCGGCUCGCCGAAAGGCGCCCGUGGCCGGGGUAACGACCCAGGGUAAGGUAACAGCGUCGAGAGGAGAAGCUCCUACCAUGCUUUGAUGAAUUUUAAAGCGGAGUGGAAGUGGGUCAUCCGCAGCCAAGUCCUACGGCGCGCCGUUUCGUUUUUGACUAAAUGAAAGGGGCAGUCAAAGGAUGCUGUUCACAGACUACAUGGCGGUGGGUUGCUCGCUGCCCUUUCAUGUCAACUGAAAGGGUGUC
rnacentral:rRNA from 1 species